GAGCAUAUACGAUUUGUGUUGGAUCUUGCAAAGAUUCAGUUUAGUAUUUUAAUACUUAUGCUUU
rnacentral:tRNA from 1 species